GUUUGAAUAGAAGUGAAGUCUAUCAACUGAUCGAUCAAUAUGGAAAGCGUGAAGAUAUUGUUAGUGCUGUGUUUAAUAUUGAAAUGUAACUGCUGGGUAAAUGAAUAUGAUGGGCCAAUAUUGUAUGAAUGUCCUCGCGGACAAUCAUUUGCUGAAAUAUCCAGUGAACAUGCUGAUUAUUACCGGGACAGACAAUGGAAUUUCCAGUGCGCCAACACGGGUGUUUUGACUCCAUCGAGUCCAUGUCGUUGGGCUUACAAUGUUAACGGAUUGGGCAAAACAAUGAAAGUUAUAUGUCCAAGGGGUGCAAUAACCGGUAUCAGGAGUUACUACAGCAAGUAUAACGA